ensembl:lncRNA
GUUGUUUUUAUUUUAUUAUUUUUUUUAUUUAAUAAAAAACAACGACGUGUCUUUUUGUGUUGACAUGAAAUAUUGCCUAUGUUACUUCCACAUACAUUAUUAUUUAAAGUUAAGGUCAAUCACCUACAUGUAGACAAGAGUUAUCUGCUUAGCAACAGAGCAACUAACCACUUCCUUUUUUUUUUGCAGCUCCUCCUCAGAUGCAAAUAAAGCCGACGGUGAAGUUCAGGUCUGUUUCUAUAUCUCUGGGAAGGUCAUGAUGUUCAAGCUAAAUCAAGCAACACUGUUCUUCAUUCAGCUAUUAGUGAUAUGGCAUGUUUUUGCAGAGGUUGCUGAAGAAGGAAACAGAACUGUGUUUGCAUCCAUAGGACACUCAGUGACAUUAACUUGCAACAUAUCCAAAAAAAAUGCAACAUCGAUCACCUGGACAAACAACAGAUCUGUUUUUCAAUAUUCUAUUGCACUGAAUCGCAACUUUUCAAAUUUCUCAUCACAUAGACUGAAAAUAAAUCAUGAGUUCCCCACAAAGCUAAUUAUUUUUAGUGCUCAAUCUGAAGAUGAAGGACUUUAUACAUGUAGCAUAAUAGACAAAAGUGGCCUAAACAGCAUUACAUGGAAUUUAACUGUGUCUGAGAGUCCCAAAGAAUCCACUUCAUCAAAGACUUUUCUAUACAUACUCCCACCUGCAAUUGGAUUCCUUCUAUGUGGCACCAUGCUAGCCAUCUGCUUCUGUAGGUGAGUAAAACCUCUUUCGUAAUGAAUGGAUGAACAUCUCUCUUUUCUGUACUGUUGUAGAAUUGUUGUCAGUACAAGUGAGUAUUUUUCAUGUUGACCAUGCAUUUCAGUUUUAUUCAUAUGUCCAAGUUUUGAAAUAUCUGAAGGUUCUAAAAUGAUCCGUGGGGCUCGUAUCAUGGUUUUUGUUGAUUGGAAGAUCAAGUUUUAAAAUAACAAAUAACAGGCCUUCAGUACUCGUCUCAGAGCUUAUGUGGUGUUUCAGUAUGGGCAGGUUGUUUUAAUGACUCAGUAAUGUCUAUCAGACUUUCAUUGUGUUAAAUAAGUCACAUUGUUAUUAAAUUCUGUAACAAAAACAGAAUGUUCCAAACAUUUUUCAGUUUAUUCAGAAACAAAAUAAAUAAAGUAGAUUUUAAGUCAAUCUUACUUAAAAAUAUAAAACGGCAUUUGAUUUACUGUCUGUGCUCAUAUAUUUUAUUUAGUGUUAAAGUAUUAAGGUUUGAUAGCCAGUCCUACAAAAACUGGGAUUUUUACUCAAUAGAUUCAAACACUACCAACAUAAAGUUCACAUUCAAUUAAAAAAAAUCACACAAUUGAAGAAAAAAGUGAAAAUUUGUGCAUGUUGUUUGGUGCGGCAGUUUUGACACAGUAGAUAAAGGAUCUGACUUGCUAAUAUGUUCCAGGCCUGCACAUGUAGCUCUGCUUUGACUCCGAGUGGAUGCAUAAACGUGAGAAAUGUUGAGAAUGGGUUGGUAUGUGAAUGUAAAGAUUGAAUUGUUAUGCUAAAGCAGCACAAACAGAGUUACUGGGAUAAAAAUUUAUAGUGCAGUAUUCCAAAAUUUAAUCCUAAUACUGCAAUAACCACAAUAAUAACAAUGCUUUAAGAACUAUCACACAUAAUUUUAUUAAAACAUACAGUAAAUAUGCUGUAAAAUGGUUGAAAUUUGUUUUAAUCACCAGAACAAUUUGCACAUUUCCCAUUGCUAUCAACUGUCCAUUUGUGUUGCAUGUGAAUAUGUUUCAUUUAAAUCAACAAUAAUGAAAGAAGUAAUAUGAAGAAGAUUUUUUGUGUUUCUUAUGGUCACGUUAAAGUCUACAGUGUUUUGGAACCUAGGCUCAUAUGCUGAGGUGCUUGAAAGAUUAGAGGUUUUAUUUCUUUUACUUUUCAGAAAAGUUACAAUGAGGACACCAAAUCUGGAUCCAGUCAAAAAUAGUCCUCAGUCAGGAGAAGAGGUCAGAAGAACUUUGUCACCUUUAACAAUCACAUAUUUCUGCUUAAUUUUCUAGCUUUCAUUUUCACUUUCUGUCUUUAUAGGCAGCUCUCCCUCAACCACAAGGUGCCAAUCAGCACUGUGAACGUAGCAAGCGGAGGAGUCAGUAUAUGGAGAGGUGGAAUUCAAUCUAUGAUCACUUCUGAGCUUAUAAGCCUUCCAGUCACAGGGAAUAAGGGGACAACAGGGCUGCUACAGCAUCUUCAACUCAGACACACAGCUCUGGCUGGGAGCACAGCAGUUCCAGUCAUUCACAACACUUUGUUUAAAUGAAGCAGUCAAUUUAAAAAAAGUAAGAAUAAAGGGAAAGGGGAAGGGGAUUAAACAUAAUGUUUCAGAGACAGGAUAAAGGGCCUGCACUAAAGCCCAUCAUUAGAUAAUGAUUAUCUGAAACUGUGAAUCAGACUUUAGAGGUAGAUGUCUUUAAUAAGAAGAGUAUUUGAGAGUAGUGACUUUGAAUUAUUUUAUUUUUUUUAACUAUGAACUUUUUUAUUUAACUAAGCUCACUAAAGCAUUUUCUUUCAAAUAUUCAUCUCAUGCAUAUGGAAUAUUCUCAGAAAACCAGAUGCUUUGCCACUUUUUUUGAGUAGAAGUAUAUGGAUUAUGUCGGUCUCAUUAUGUUCUCCUUUUUGUAUUUGAAAUCAAAUAGUUAUAAUUCAUUAAUGCUACAUUCCUCCGCAGUCUUCUUUAUAUGUUGUUCAAUUAAAAUUCAAUUUGGUUUAUAUAGUGCCAAACCACAAAAACAGUGGCCUCAGGGACUUUAUAUUUUAAGGUAAAGACCUACAAUAAUUCAGAGAAAACAUACGUCCCCUUAUGAGCCAAGAGUUGGCAACAGUGGAAAGGAAAAACUCCCUUUUAACAGGAAAUAACCUCUGCAAGAACCAGGAUCAAGGAGGGGCAAUCAUCUGCCACGACUGGUUGGGGGUGAGGGAAGGGAGACAGGACAAAGACAUGCAGUGGUAGAGAGUCAGAGAUUAUUAAUAACUAAUGGUUAAAUGCAGAGUGGUGUCAUUGGCCCAGGUUGUUUUAUUGAUGUCAGGAUUUCUUGAAAUAGUUUGAAAGUGUCUUGUCAUUUAAAAGGUAUUUAAACUUGUUUGUUCAAACCCUUCUCCUAUGUGAACUCCUGCUUAUUAAACAUUGCAAAACAGGCAUACACUGAAAGUAUCCUGCAGUAUUUUGAUGUCACUUUUCAUGCAAAACUGAAAUAAUUUUCUUUAAUGAGAAUGAAUUGUUUAAUCAACCUUCUUGUUUAAUGCAAUGAUUUUAUAAUUUAAAUAUUAUAUUAAUUAUGCUUUAAAUUUCCAUGUGCUUAAACAGCAUGCACCCUCAAACGAAUGGCGUCUUUUCAUCUGCUAGUAACCACUUCCUUUUAUUGUCACUACCUUGACAAAGAUAUGUGCAAGUAGUGGUUAAGCUUCACUUUAUCUGUCUGUGGUUAUGUGAUCUUUAUUCUACUAGCUGUGUGCAACGACCUGACUGCUCCAACACAAGACUGUUUUAAACAUAUUUUCUCUGAGUUUUUUUUAUAUUGUUUCCAAAGGAAGAUUUGUUUUGUAGAUUUGUUUUUCCACUUAAAGUUUCAAAGCCUGUAAUUUACAGUGCACACUGUAAAUUACUAAUGAAAUGAUUGCAUAUUAACACCAGGUGACAAACGUUAAAAGAAAACGAUAUUUUUGUGUUUAGCAUGUCUGCGAUCCAUCCUGAGUCUCUCCUCUUUAAUUUGUACUGAUAAUGUGGACUGUUUGUCUCUGACACCUUUGAAAAAUGUGGGUUUCCUGUUCACGCUCUUUCUUUGCAGCUAAGUCUGUAAGACCCUGUGUGUAGACUUAAAUAAAAGAAAUAUCAUGUGGUG